rnacentral:rRNA from 1 species
UGCGCAGGCGGACCUAUUAGUCAGUGGUGAAAUCCCGGGGCUCAACUCCGGAACUGCCAUUGAUACUGUAGGUCUUGAGUUUGGUUGAAGUGGGCGGAAUGUAGCAUGUAGCGGUGAAAUGCAUAGAUAUGCUACAGAACACCGAUCGCGAAGGCAGCUCACUGAACCAAAACUGACGCUCAGGCACGAAAGCGUGGGUAGCGAACAGGAUUAGAUACCCUGGUAGUCC